rnacentral:rRNA from 1 species
AGCUCUCCGAGUGGUGUGGAUGUUUAUUGGGCCUAAAGCAUCCGUAGCUGGCUAGGUAAGUCCCUUGUUAAAUCCACCGAAUUAAUCGUUGGAUCGCGGGGGAUACUGCUUGGCUAGGGGACGAGAGAGGCAGACGGUAUUUUCGGGGUAGGGGUGAAAUCCUAUAAUCCCGGGAAGACCACCAGUGGCGAAGGCUGUCUGCUAGAACGCGCCUGACGGUGAGGGAUGAAAGCUGGGGGAGCGAACC